UGGGGUUUUAGCUCAGGGGUAAAGCACUUGCGUAGCAUGUAUGAGGCACUGAGUUCAAUCCUCAGCACCACAU
rnacentral:tRNA from 1 species